CAGAUAGGUAAUAUUAAGCCCUCACUUUAUUGGAUAUAUUGUUGUACGUACAGAGAUACGUAAGUAUAUGCAUACAUAAGCACAAGCCUCUUAUUUAUUCUAUUUGAUAUACAUACGUAUGCGCAUACAUGUGCGCAUAUACAUAUAUAAAACCUUACACCAAAGGUCAAGACGAUUGCAUACAAGAGGGCUAUUAAUUUUCAUGGAAAAUUCUUACCUAGAUUGAGAUAAGAAAAAUCCAAUUUACAUACUACUAGCAUGACAAUCAGGAAUCCAAUCAAAAGGACAGGUAGGAUCAAACUUCAAGCUGUAAAAAUUUCCCAAAUUGAGCAAGCUUUCUUGUGUUUCGUUGAUGAACCUGGCAGGACUAAGAUUUACCGGAGCAACAGAAGCGUUAUUCGCAAUGGUCAAGUAGUCCUUUGUCUCAUAUCGAAAAUAACCAUUCAAGAACGCCACAAUAAUCCCACCAACAGUUCUCCUCAGGGGAUCUCUAGAACGAUUCCCCUUGCAGAUAUUAAUUCUGGGUUCAUAGUCAUCUAAGAUGUCCAUAUGACCAUAGUCUGUAGCAACAAAAUAACCAAUAGGAGGCUUGCUUUCCAAGUAGAACUCCAUAUGGUUCAAAUCACUAGGAGCACAAGGAGGAAAAAGUAAAAACUUCUGAUCACCUAACCCACUGCCGAUUACGGUAACAGGAAUCGAUAAGUCAAAAGAGUGGGGGAAAAAUUUGAGAAUUUUGGGAUCACAACGGCAUUCUUUACUCAACCCUGCAACAGGAUCGACGCCUACAAGUACUGAAAUGGUGACUUCUAGGGGGAUUUUGGCAUAUCCAAGAGCAAGUGCAAAAGCUGUCUUACCACCUCUACUGUGGCCUGAAACAGCAAGCUGGUCGAGGUUCCCUUCAACAUUUUCCGGCAGUACAGUCUUGAGGCCUAAGAGUAACCAGUUCGCUACGUUUGCCGCGUAAUUAAGUUCUUCAUUUCCACUUAUCGUAGGAAUAACAACUGGGCAAUUAUACAACUGAGGAGCAACAACUAUGUAUCCAUGGGAAGCAAUAUGCUCGAGGAGGCUUCUGUAGACAGAAUUGGUAGUGCAGGUGCCAUGGAAAAACAAGAAGACAGGGUAUUUUCCCCCUAUAGUUGGGGAAAUGAUAAACAAGGGCUUAGGAGAGGCAGAUUUUGAUUCCUUCACUGAAAUAGCUUUUGUGGAAAUACUUCCUGCUUCAAAAACAGGAAGGGUUGCCAAGACUAGCUUCACCACUUCCGAGUGUGAUGACAGUAGCAUUACCAACAAUGUUAUUGACACUGUUGCUAUUGCCAUCUCUUGCUUUUCUCUACUGAG
rnacentral:misc_RNA from 1 species